rnacentral:rRNA from 1 species
UACGAAGGGGGCUAGCGUUGCUCGGAAUGACUGGGCGUAAAGGGUGCGUAGGUGGUUACGUAAGUUAGAUGUGAAAUUUCCGGGCUUAACCUGGGAACUGCGUCUGAUACUGCGUAGCUAGAGUCCUGUAGAGGAAAGCGGAAUUUCCGGUGUAGCAGUGAAAUGCGUAGAGAUAUGGAGGAACACCAGUGGCGAAGGCGACUUUCUGGUCUGUAACUGACACUGAGGCGCGAAAGCGUGGGGAGCAAACAGG